UCUCAGGCCAUACCCUGACCCCAAGGUUACUUAAGGAGCACUAAGACCUGGAGUGCCCAAUCCCAGGAGAACAUUUCCCUUAGGAGGUGGGCCACAGGCAGCCAUAAGCAGCACUGCAGGCAGAGGAGCGCUGUGUGUCUCUCACCACUGAAGCUUAAGAGAUGGCCAAGGCAGCAGCUUCUGACUUCAUGAAGCAAGUGAGAGUAGCAGAGGCAGAGAGCCAGGGAGGGGCUGUACACAGCCCCUGCUGCCCACCCCCAGCUCUUCACCAAGCCCUCUGGAAGCUCACACCCUCAGCAGGCAAUGGGCAAGGGCAGCAGCAGGGGCAGUCCUGGAAGUACCAGAGCCCAAGGAGAAGGUCUUGGUAGAGGAGAGGGAAUACUUGAAACUCUAUGACCCCCAAGAGCUGCCUCAGCUGGAACACAAUGAAAACCAAAGCUGGAGUGCUAGAAAAGAGAAGCCUCCCUUGUCCCUCAUGGGACACGUCAGGCAUGGUCACAGUGCUGAGGCUUUAACAAUGGAGUAUCCCACUUGAGUAGCCUACCUCUAGGCAGUAGAGAAAUGGGCUCAACUUUGACCCUGUUUUAUGAGCCCUGCUGGAUGGCUGAAAUGAUGGCUAUGAGGACAACAGCACAAUCCAGAGCAGCAGAGCAAGGAAACUCCAACUCACAGGCCUUGCUGAUCACCCCCCAGCUCUUCCACAUCAAGCCAGAUGGAAGCCCAUCUCCUCAGGAGCAGGAAGUAGGACUGGCAGCAGGGGCACUCCUGUCAGCAUCAGCAACCAAGGUAGAGGCAUUGGAUAAGAGGGAGAAAGACUGGGAAGAUAACAGAGACCAAGAGCUGUCCCAAGAAGAGGACAGCACAGACAAAAAAGGGUACUGACGAACAGAGUCUUCCCAUGCACCUCCUGCAUGAGGCAUGGGAAGAGCACUGAGGCAGCCAACUGCACACAGCUAUAACCACCAAAUUGGAUCUGCUGAGGUGGGUCCAUAACAGGCCUCCUUAUGACCUGGAUUUGCUGUCCUGCCUGGAUGAAGACAUGGACUGGGAGGAAGAAUGUUUUUUCAGCCUUGAAGGUCUGCACCUACAGCAGUCCCCAUGCAACAGGUCUCCCCCUUCAGGAGGGUACUUGAUGCUCUGUGCAGUGUGUUCCAGUUCCCUUGCACCACAGGACAGCCAGAGCUGUAGCAUCCUGCUGCCAGCAUCAGGUGGAUCUCUGGAGAUGGAGGCUGGCCCUAAGCCUGUGCAGAAUCUCUGAAAAAUCCCAGAAGAUAAGGGGCUAAUGUGUAUAUCUCAAACAACAAUAUACAGAUGAAUGGCUGUGGA